UCUGCAGAUUGUGUGAUUUGGGUCUCUUCUUUUCAGAUACAAGUGUUCUCCCACCUCUUAUUUAUGCUCUUAUGGGUAGUUUAAGAGAGAUAGCCAUUGGACCUGUGGCAGUGGUUUCCUUGCUAAUUUCAUCCAUGAUUCCGAAACUAGUAGAUCCCCAUGGUUGAUCCCAUUGCUUACAGAAGCCUUGUUUUCACUGCAACUUUCUUUGCUGGUGUCUUUCAAGCAGUGUUUGGAUUGUUCAGAGGCUGUUUGGCGAUCUAUCCAUCGUUCAGUAAGGAGAUAGUAAUACUGUUUUCUUUUAUGACAUCUAAGAUGCAUCAUCCAAUGUCAAAUUUCAUCUGCUUCUUUUAUACUAGUGGUACCCCCUCAACGCUGCGCUUGGGUGUUCAUUACUGAUAUUCAUCCUAAUGGCCCGAUUCCUGGGCAAAAGUAACAAGAAACUCUUCUCGUUACCAUCUAUUGCUCCUCUCCUCUCUGUUAUAUUAUCCACUCUUAUAGUCUUUCUGACGAGAGCAGAUAAGCAUGGAAUUAAGAUACUAAAACACAUAAAAGGAGGCAUCAAUCCAAGUUCAGCUAAGCAAUUACAUCUCAAUGGCCCACAUGUCGAAGAAGUUGCUAAAACUGGGUUGAUUUCUGCAAUUGUAGCUCUCACGGUGGGUGCUUUUUAAUCAUGGUCCUGCACUCUAGUAAAGAAAACUUUACUAAAACACAUAAAAGGAGGCAUCAAUCCAAGUUCAGCUAAGCAAUUACAGCUCAAUGGCCCACAUGUCGGAGAAGUUGCCAAAACUGGGUUGAUUUCUGCARUUGUAGCUCUCACGGUGGGUGUUUUUUAAUCAUGGUCCUGCACUCUUGUAAAGAAAACUUUACUAAAACACAUAAAAGGAGGCAUCAAUCCAAGUUC